rnacentral:sRNA from 1 species
AAUGCCUAACAAAGCAGAACGACUCACGCUGGGUCCCAGAGCUGGCCAGUGGAAGCACUGAGACCUCCACAUACUGAAGGCAUGGACUAUUGACCGCUGUUGGUAUUGGUCUCAUCAUUGACUAUCAUUAAGUGUUGGCUGUUUGCAUGCUUCCUGCCCAGUGGCAGGUUCAAAGAAGCCCGCAGGAAGCGUGCUCCUUUCUUUCCCAGGGCCCGCAAUUGGGCUGGAAGACAGAGCAACAAAAAGCGCCCAUGUAACUCAUGGGAACAUUCAUGUGUGCUGAAUGGCAGGUGAAGGUGCCACAGAGAGGCUGAGGAUUUCAGAGGGCACCAUGAACUGGAGUGAGGUCACAGAGCAGGAACCCAAGACCUUCACUUGGUUGGUGUGAGCACUCCAGGAGGCAGGCACCCUCCCUCAGCCCUCAAGCAAGCAAAAAUGGGUUUAAAAAAGAAGGAGAAGAAGCAGCAGCAGCAGCCGCCACAGAGCUUGUGACAGCUGCAGCCUAAGGGCAACAGGCAGGGGAGACCAAGGACCAGAAAGAGCAGAGGCUUUUUCAAAGAAAGAGACCCCUCUCCCAGCACCCAGCGAUGGCGGCAAGCCCCACCCGCAGUGCCUGCUAAGAACAAGUCCCACGUGAGAACAACAUGGCCCCCCGAGAUGCCCACAGGGACCCCGAGAUGCCUGCAGUGCUUGGCUCUCCCGCUGGCCAGCUGCCCACCUGGCUCAGGCCCAGUACUCACCCUGGUCACACCUGGGAGAGGAGGAGAGGAGAGCAUAGCACCUGCAGCAAGAUGGAUGUGGGCAGCAAAGAGGUCCUGAUGGAGAGCCCGCCGGACUACUCCGCAGCUCCCCGGGGCCGAUUUGGCAUUCCCUGCUGCCCAGUGCACCUGAAACGCCUUCUUAUCGUGGUGGUGGUGGUGGUCCUCGUCGUCGUGGUGAUUGUGGGAGCCCUGCUCAUGGGUCUCCACAUGAGCCAGAAACACACGGAGAUG